GUCUCUUAGGAGACAUCCGAUAAAAUUGGAACGAUACAGAGAAGAUUAGCAUGGCCCCUGGGCAAGGAUGACACGCACAAAGGAUUUUUUUGACUUUUUU